rnacentral:lncRNA from 1 species
CCCUCCCUCUAGACCUCCUCUUCCCCAUUGCAGCAGUCUACUGAACUUUAUAACUAUAACUAGUAUAUUAGAAGCUACAAUAAUGAUAAGGGCAGAAAUUGUACUUAAAAGUGCAGGUCUUUAUGAUGUUUAAAAAAAAAAAACAGAACCCAAAAACUAUGGUGAUAGAUACAGGCUUCAUUUCAGACUGUAAAUGACUUGUCCUAUUCUGAUACUUGUUUCAAAUAUGUUUACUAACUAUUAAUAUUGUGUUGACUGCCUGACCAAAUUCGUUAAAGUUUUACACCAAAAUAUUCCUCCUCAGUCCUAUUUGCUAGUAACAUUUGCAUUGUGAUUGCCUGGCUAUAACCACCCCACAGGUAAACCAUUUUCAUCAUUAGUACUGCCAGCAGUAGUGGCAAACACUGUAAGUAAACUCCUGCAUAAAAAGCAUUAAUUGCAUACCUACCAUCCAUACAAACAAGAGUUUUUCAAACUUUAAACAUUAAGUGAAAUUAAUUUUCUAUACUGUGGCCAAGUUUAUUGAGAAAUUGUUUCAUAAAUGGAUAUCCCUACUAUGACU